GAUGAACGCUAGCGGCAGGCCUAACACAUGCAAGUCGAACGGUAACAUAGAGUGCUUGCACUCUGAUGACGAGUGGCGCACGGGUGCGUAACGCGUGUACAAUCUGCCUCUUACAGGGGGAUAGCCUUUGGAAACGAAGAAUAAUACCCCAUGGUAUGUAGGUAUCGCAUGGUAACUACAUUAAAGAUUUAUCGGUAAGAGAUGAGUAUGCGUCCUAUUAGCUGGAUGGUGUGGUAACGGCACACCAUGGCAACGAUAGGUAGGGGCCCUGAGAGGGGGAUCCCCCACACUGGUACUGAGACACGGACCAG
rnacentral:rRNA from 1 species